rnacentral:rRNA from 1 species
GGAGUUAGCCGGUGCUUCUUCUGUGAGUGAUGUCCUUCCUGCCGGCUAUUAACCCGCAGGCCUUCUUCCUCACUGAAAGUGCUUUACAACCCGAAGGCCUUCUUCACACACGCGGCAUGGCUGGAUCAGGGUUGCCCCCAUUGUCCAAUAUUCCCCACUGCUGCCUCCCGUAGGAGUCUGGGCCGUGUCUCAGUCCCAGUGUGGCUGAUCAUCCUCUCAGACCAGCUACGGAUCGUCGCCUUGGUGAGCCGUUACCUCACCAACCAGCUAAUCCGACAUAGGCUCAUCCGAUAGCGCGAGGCCCGAAGGUCCCCCGUUUUCCCCCGUAGGGCGUAUGCGGUAUUAGCCUGGGUUUCCCCAGGUUAUCCCCCACUACCGGGCAGAUUCCUAUGCAUUACUCACCCGUCCGCCGCUCGCCACCAGGGAGCAAGCUCCCCGUGCUGCCGCUCGACUUGCAUGUGUUAGGCCUGCCGCCAGCGUUCAAUCUGAGCCAUAAUCAAACUCUGA